CUCUCUGAUAUCAGUUUUUCAAGGUUUGACAUAAAAUUCUGUUGUCUACGAUUUGUUAGAAGUUUUCGUAAAAUUUAGAUAUUAGUUUUCGUUAUAGCGUAGUGAUAUUAUCUAAUAAUAAUACACUAUAUAUACUAGAGUGGACGUGAAUAAAGGGAAAGAUUUUUUAUUCAAGCGUUGUAAAAGCAAAAAGCAAGGAAUUCUAACCAAACGGAUAACCGAACUAUUCUAGCCAAUGUGAACUUUAUCAUGACUCACGCGACGUAUUAUUAUUAAAAUUCUGUAUUCUAUAUUCGAGAUGUAUCGUAAGGACAGCAGGUAAUAUUUGGAAAUUACAGCCAACCUCGAGUAAACAAUAAGAUCAAAAAUGGCGAUGGAAAUGUGGAAGUAUAUUUUAGCACUUAUCAUCGUAAAUUCUGUGGCCACUGAGAGAAUUAAGGAUAUGAUCUACAUGCCUUUAGAUGGUGUAGCUGCUUGUUUCCGAAGACACAAUGGCACGCAUCAAUUUGGAUGCUCUUCCAGUAGAUCAGGAAGUGUAGGUGUCGUACAUCUAAUUGAGACAGAUGGCGAUAUUACUUGGAUAGAAAAAAGUGCCACUGCUGGUCCAUAUACUGUAGUCCUUCCAUUUGACAUGUUUACUAGAAAUACACUCAUAAGACUUCGAAAUACGAAUAAUAUAAAUGGAGUGCUAUUAACGAGAAAUACUAAUAAACGCCCACCAACGUAUUCACCUGAAGAUACGUGUCCAAAUCGAUAUUCUGGUUAUAAAAAAUGUAAUAGCACAAACCCAUGGAAUUCUGUUGGAUCUGCAUUGCUCAUGGAAGAUUGGCCAUUUCCCAUGUUUUAUACAGAGAAUCAAACUGUUUUGGAGGCCAUAAAAUCUUGUUUUCAGACACAUAACGCUCACGAUCUCGAAACACAGUAUCAGAGAUCUCUUUGCGCAAUAGAAAUGAAAUCGUUCAUGUAUGCUGCUGUUAAUUCGGAAUCAUGUAUAAAACGUACUGAUUUCAAGUUAAAUUUUCAUCCGACGACAUUUUGCGAUCCACUCGGAGACAGAAACAUACAUUGGCCUUUAGUGCCUCUCAAUGAGAAUAAUAAUACAGUAAUACUAGUAACGGCGCGAUUGGAUGCAUCAUCAUUAUUCGAUGGUAUAUCACCUGGUGCGGGUAAUGUCGUGACAGGACUUGUAACAUUGCUUGCUACUGCAUACUACUUGAGUCACUUAAAUGCUACUAUUGAUAAAACAAACAUUGUAUUCUCAUUGCUGAACGGAGAGGCAUUCGAUUACAUAGGAUCUAGUCGAAUGGUAUAUGACUUGAAGCAGAACAAUUUUAAUGCUCUCGGUGGAAUCAAUUUAAACAUCGACGACAUCAAGAGCGUGAUUGAGUUUGGUCAGUUGGGUGGAGGGGAAAUAUUUCUUCAUACUAAUGGCGAAGACGAUAUGAUAAAUCAUUUGCAGAAGGCAUUGAACGUGCCGAACAGUGGUGUUUUAAACGGUAGUGUCCCACCUACAUCUGUGCAAAGUUUCCUGGAAGCAAAACCGGAUCUAACGACUGUUGUUAUAAGCAAUCACAAGGAAAAGUUUAAGAAUCAUUAUUAUAACGGUAUCUUAGACGAUGCGGAGAGUCUCGGUUUUAACAGCAACGAUAGUAGCGCACUUGCAUCAGAUUUAGAGAAAAUUGCUCUUCAGGUCGCUAAUGAACUUUACUGGAUGGUGACGGGUGAGCAAGACCCAGAGCCCGCUUAUCUACCGAUAUCCGUGAAAGAACUUAUCACGAAAAUGCUACAUUGUUACUUAGAGAGCGCCAAGUGUGAUCUAUUUCAUGCGUCUUCGGCACCUAGUGUUAAAUUGAUUAAUCAGGUCCUGCCAUUGUACGUUGGUGUACACAGAGCGCCCAACCCCGCGACAAGUUUGACAGGUCAGCUAUUGGCUUUUCUGACUGGUGACUGGCUCUUUGAGACGAAUGAAACAACGUGCUACGAAAAUCGCCUCGUUUGGAUGAGCGGAUUCAAUUCUACAGGAUUAUGUAUAAAUUCGACUGUCAAUUAUAGCGCAGCUGUAAGUCCUGCGUUUAUCAUCGAUGGGUAUGACAUGAAAUCGGGAGUUUAUUCUACUUGGACAGAAUCUAUAUGGCAAACAUUGAGCGUGAGAAUGUUUCUUAAACCAUCAGCAGCGACAGAACGCUUCAGUAUGAUUCUGGGUAGCUUAAUCGCCGGUACUUCGUUUGUGUUAGUGUGGUUCAUCAAUAAACGAGCUGAUGUUUUAUUUAAUUCAAGGAGAACCGUUGAUUGCUAGGGAUACGCCGCGGACCACAUAUCAAUGACCAGGUUAGAUAAUUAUCAUCAAGAUCCAGAUGUUCCAAUAACUAGCCUUUAACCUUAUGUGUGGUGCGCCCUCGGACGAUUUUUCUAAUUCAAAUAUUUGCAAUAUACAAGGAUGAAGUAGGAGGCUGGGCACCGCCCACCGAAUUAUCACAGUCGUCUGGUGCCGCAGCACAUACGUAUACGUGGUUCAGCCUUACAACCUACCUCUUAAUCUAUAACGUUAUCUUAGAAAUUUUAUUUAUCUCUCGAAUACAGUAUAGUCCCGUAUGACGAGAGAAAGGUGGCGGUUUUGUUAAAGCAAUAAUAUUUGCUAGGAAAACGAUUUUUUUUUCUUUCUUCAUCUCACAUUGGAUCGCGUAUAUUAUUGCUUAUUACAAACACUCCGGUUGAGCAAUAUGCAGAUCCCUUUGGGGUGCGUUUCCUCGCGAACAAAUACUUUUU